AGGGAUGCAGCUCAGUGGUACAGCACUCGUCUAGUAUGUGUGAGGUCCUAGGUUCAAUCCCCAGCAUUGUUU
rnacentral:tRNA from 1 species